AACGAACGCUGGCGGCAUGCCUAACACAUGCAAGUCGAACGGGUGGCUUCGGCCAUCAGUGGCGCACGGGUGAGUAACGCGUGGGAAUCUGCCCAGCAGUGGGGGAUAACCUCUGGAAACGGAGGCUAAUACCGCAUACGCCCCUCGGGGGAAAGGCUUGCUGCUGCUGGAGGAGCCCGCGUCGGAUUAGGUAGUUGGUGGGGUAACGGCCUACCAAGCCUGUGAUCCGUAGCUGGUCUGAGAGGAUGAUCAGCCACACUGGGACUGAGACACGGCCCAGACUCCUACGGGAGGCGGCAGUGGGGAAUAUUGGACAAUGGGCGCAAGCCUGAUCCAGCAAUGCCGCGUGAGUGAUGAAGGCCUUCGGGUUGUAAAGCUCUUUCGCCCACGACGAUGAUGACGGUAGUGGGAGAAGAAGCCCCGGCUAACUUCGUGCCAGCCGCCGCAGUAACAC
rnacentral:rRNA from 1 species